rnacentral:rRNA from 1 species
CCUACGGGAGGCAGCAGUAGGGAAUCUUGCGCAAUGGGCGAAAGCCUGACGCAGCGACGCCGCGUGCGGGAUGACGGCCCUAGUGGUUGUAAACCGCUUUCAGCAGGGACGAAAAUGACGGUACCUGCAGAAGAAGUCCCGGCUAACUACGUGCCAGCAGCCGCGGUAAUACGUAGGGGACAAGCGUUGUCCGGAUUCAUUGGGCGUAAAGAGCUCGUAGGCGGUUCAGUAAGUUGGGUGUGAAAGCUCCGGGCUCAACCCGGAGAGGCCACUCAAUACUGCUGUGACUAGAGUCCAGUAGAGGAGCGUGGAACUCCUGGUGUAGCGGUGAAAUGCGCAGAUAUCAGGAAGAACACCGGCAGCGAAGGCGGCGCUCUGGGCUGGUACUGACGCUGAGGAGCGAAAGCAUGGGUAGCAAACAGGAUUAGAUACCCUGGUAGUCCAUGCCGUAAACGUUGGGCACUAGGUGUGGGGAGGAAUCAACCCUCUCCGUGCCGUAGCUAACGCAUUAAGUGCCCCGCCUGGGGAGUACGGCCGCAAGGCUAAAACUCAAAGGAAUGACGGAAUCGUCGACCGCAGGGAUAAGUUUUU